AAUGUGUAAACAUUUAUUAACUAAAAUUUAGGAAGUUUAAACAAAAAUUUUAAUAGUUUCAAAAAGACUUAUUCUGUUUAAAAUAAAUUAAAAAAAGAAAAUAAGGAAACAAUGCAAUAGACACUUCCGUCUCUCUCACACUGCGUCUCUCAGAAUCUCACAAACUCUCUCUCAAGCUCAAAGAAUCUCUCUCUCUCAACUUAGACGCUUCCGUCUCUCUCACACUGCGUCUC
rnacentral:lncRNA from 1 species